CCUGGUGCUUUUGGCACAGAUGCACCACUCCCAUCCCUUCCCGAACUGGGCUGUGAAACUCUGUUGCGGCUACGAUACUUGGAGGGUCGCCUCCUGGAACAAUAGCUCGGUGCCAGGG
rnacentral:rRNA from 2 species